AUGAACGCUGGCGGCGUGCCUAAUACAUGCAAGUCGAGCGAACAUACGAGGAGCUUGCUCCUCUGACGUUAGCGGCGGACGGGUGAGUAACACGUGGAUAACCUACCUAUAAGACUGGGAUAACUUCGGGAAACCGGAGCUAAUACCGGAUAAUAUAUUGAACCGCAUGGUUCAAUAGUGAAAGACGGUUUUGCUGUCACUUAUAGAUGGAUCCGCGCCGCAUUAGCUAGUUGGUAAGGUAACGGCUUACCAAGGCAACGAUGCGUAGCCGACCUGAGAGGGUGAUCGGCCACACUGGAACUGAGACACGGUCCAGACUCCUACGGGAGGCAGCAGUAGGGAAUCUUCCGCAAUGGGCGAAAGCCUGACGGAGCAACGCCGCGUGAGUGAUGAAGGUCUUCGGAUCGUAAAACUCUGUUAUUAGGGAAGAACAAAUGUGUAAGUAACUAUGCACGUCUUGACGGUACCUAAUCAGAAAGCCACGGCUAACUACGUG
rnacentral:rRNA from 1 species